UACAGAGGGUGCGAGCGUUAAUCGGAAUUACUGGGCGUAAAGCGUGCGUAGACGGUUAUUUAAGUCGGAUGUGAAAGCCCCGGGCUCAACCUGGGAAUUGCAUUCGAGACUGAAUAGCUAGGGUACGGUAGAGGGAAGUGGAAUUUCCGGUGUAGCGGUGAAAUGCGUAGAUAUCGGAAGGAACAUCAGUGGCGAAAGCGACUUCCUGGACCAGUACCGACGUUCAGGCACGAAAGCGUGGGGAGCAACCAGG
rnacentral:rRNA from 1 species